rnacentral:rRNA from 1 species
GGGCCCGCACAAGCGGUGGAGCAUGUGGUUUAAUUCGAUGAUACGCGAGGAACCUUACCAGGGCUUAAUGUAAGUUGCAUAAGCUAGAGAUAGCUUUUUCUUCGGACUACUUACAAGGUGCUGCAUGGUUGUCGUCAGCUCGUGCCGUGAGGUGUCAGGUUAAGUCCUAUAACGAGCGCAACCCCUGUUGUUAGUUGCCAUCGAGUAAUGUCGGGAACUCUAACAAGACUGCCGGUGCAAACCGUGAGGAAGGUGGGGAUGACGUCAAAUCAUCACGGCCCUUACGUCCUGGGCUACACACGUGCUACAAUGGCCGGUACAGAGAGCAGCCACUACGCGAGUAGGAGCGAAUCUCUUAAAGCUUGUCCCAGUUCGGAUAGGAGUCUGCAACUCGACUCCUUG